rnacentral:rRNA from 1 species
UACGGAGGGUGCAAGCGUUUAUCGGAAUUACUGGGCGUAAAGCGCGCGUAGGCGGCUCGGUCAGUCGGGUGUGAAAUCCCUGGGCUCAACCUGGGAACCGCAUUCGAUACUGCCGAGCUAGAGUGUGGGAGAGGGUAGUGGAAUUCCCGGUGUAGCGGUGAAAUGCGUAGAUAUCAGGAGGAACACCGGUGGCGAAGGCGGCUAUCUGGACAGAAACUGACGCUGAGGCGCGAAAGCUAGGGGAGCAAACAGG